GUUUUUCUCCCUUUAAUGGUGUAUCUUUUUCCGAACUACACAUUGGCUAUGAGCAGUAUCCAGAAAAUUUCUAAGGGGAGGGAAGUAAGUAUUUCCAUCAGCUGACUUGUCAAACAUUUAGAGCAUUUUGUUUUCUUUCUUUCCUCCCCAUAAGAAACUAUGGGUUCUUCCUCUCUUUUCCUUUGAAAUGAACUGAUGUUAAUGUGAUGUCAUAGUCAGUAUAAGUAUACCUUUCAAAAAUGGUCUUGUUCCCAUUGAGUUGAUGUUUUUCUCUUUUAAUUGGCUAGGUUUUGUUUAUAAUUGGUCCCUAGUCUCUCACAAAACCACAUUACAUGCUCAUUUCUUCAAGUUUUCUGAUUAGCCAAAUAUGUAAUUUCAUGAAUGCAUAUGAUUAAGCUGCUUGUGAAGUUCAAGUUUUGAAAAUAUAAAGUUGCAGGCGUGAUUGGAAAUUAACAUUUGUUAGGUAAAGUGAUAUUUGGGCAUUUCAUUUUGUUCACUUCCUCAAUCCUGGAUUUCUUAAAUCAGCUUUUAAGUUACAAUGAAUUUUACAGCUGAAAAAGUGUAUAAAUGAGUUUAGCUUCUGUUGUAGGGUAGGCUAUUGCUGAACAUCUAUCUGGUUGUUUUUGUCAGCCGUUUAAUGCAGUGGCUAUUUUACCAUAAACGCAUUGAACUAUAGAUACAUGAAAUAGCCGUUCCCUCUAAGAGCAGCUGUUUUUUUGGUCUUGGCUCAUUAUCAACUCACACGUCUAUCAAGUCGACCUUUCUCAUGUAUGUCACGGCUUCAUGCUUUCAACUUGAAUAUUGUUGGUGCACUGGUUUUCUGGCAUAGGUUGCACUCCAUCCAAAGGGUUAGAUAUGGUAGAAAACAAAGAGUUUAGAAGAAAAGCAUUAAUUCAAGGAAGAAAUCUGAAUGUGAGGUCCUUGCGAAGAGUGUGUUCAUUAUGUCUCACAGUAUUCUGCAAACCCUGAAGAAAACUGUUUCAAGCAUCUUUACUUACAA